GGAGAGGUGGCUGAGUGGUUUAAGGCGCUCGCUUGGAAAGCGAGUUAGGAGCAAUCCUACGCAGGUUCAAAUCCUGUCCUCUCCGCCA
rnacentral:tRNA from 1 species